GUGGGGAAUAUUGCACAAUGGGGGAAACCCUGAUGCAGCGACGCCGCGUGAGUGAAGAAGUAUUUCGGUACGUAAAGCUCUAUCAGCAAGGAAGAAAAUGACGGUACUUGACUAAGAAGCCCCGGCUAACUACGUGCCAGCAGCCGCGGUAAUACGUAGGGGGCAAGCGUUAUCCGGAUUUACUGGGUGUAAAGGGAGCGUAGACGGUAUGGUAAGUCAGAUGUGAAAGCCCGGGGCUCAACCCCGGGACUGCAUUUGAAACGAUCAGACUAGAGUGCAGGAGAGGUAAGUGGAAUUCCUAGUGUAGCGGUGAAAUGCGUAGAUAUUGGGAGGAACACCAGUGGCGAAGGCGGCCUGCUGGACAUUAACUGACGCUGAGGCGCGAAAGCGUGGGGAGCAAACAGGAUUAGAAACCCGGGUAGUCC
rnacentral:rRNA from 1 species